rnacentral:rRNA from 1 species
UUCUAUUUACUUGAAGUUAAUUAUUUGGUGAAAAAGCUAAAGUUUUCUUAGAGGACGAUAAGACCCUAUAGAUCUUUAUAAAAUUAUAUUAGUUUCUUGGUUGUUAAUAAACUAAUAGCUCUUUUAUUUCGUUGGGGCGACGUCGAGGGUUGAUUUAUCUCUCGAAAUGUAUUUACAUUUAUUAAUGCUAUUUGAUCCUUAACUGAAUUAGGAUAAAGUUACCUUAGGGAUAACAGCGUAAUUUUUCUUGAGAGUUCUUAUCG